CAUUGAGCCUGGUCGCAGCUGGUGUCUUCUGAGGUCAACAGUUGUAUGGUUCUCAAGUUUGGACAUUUCUUCACUAACAGCUCACUCAACCUCAGCAGGUUCUGACACUAGAUAGAUGUCUAAACAGGAUGGUGCGUGCCACAUUUUGCUGCUGUGGUAAGAAUUAUCAUCGUCUGCGAGUUUCCAAGAAGGUAAAUGGCUUGUCAACAUGCUGUACUACUACCGGGUGAAAAAUGAAGAGUUUUCCAAACAGCAGCUCUACAGAAAUUACAAUAAGAAUUUUAAAUGACUAAAAUGUUAAUAUUUUAUAAAUUUAGUACACCUUCACGGUCUAAUUAUUCUAAAUAUGUUUUUUAAUCAUCAUUCAGUUAAAAAACUCCUGAUUCAUUUAAUUUAAGAAUAAACAGUUUUCUACAUUGUUAGAUGUAGGAGAAAUCAUUUGGGGUUGUUAUUAAAACUGUGAUGUAUUUUUCUCUUAA